CGUGGGACCAUUGGACUGUGAGCACAUCCUGGGAGUAUGCCUGCCUCGCUCUAGAUAAAGCAGGGAGGAAUUCUGAUGUACCAUCUUUACCUUCUCCUUCCGUGCCCCACGGUGACCUGCUGCAGAAUCCCACCUGGAGGCUGGGCUGGGGCUUCUCUGCCUGCCCGGGAUGUGCCUCACCAUCGCGGGCCGGUGGAGACACCUGCUGGGGGCCAGCAGAAAUGGUUCAGAUGAGCGGGAACGUUUCCUCUUAGGCUCAACAAUCCCAAUUCUCUCAACGUUUCCUCAUGGGAGAAUUGCUCCAUCCUUUUGAUCAACUCGGUGUCCUCCUCUGGACUCGCUCCAGAGGUGAAGAAACAUCUGCUGUGUCACAGCGCCGUGGGGAGAGAGACGAUAAAUACACAGAUAAUGCAAGUGCUGUUCAUCUGCGUGCGUUCAUUUCUCCCACUGUGCAAAUGCCUUCCACAGAAAUCCCUUUCCCUGGGCGAAGUCUCAGAGUGCCUGCGGGAUCAGUGACCUGUGCAGAAGCAGCUGCCAGAACACAGCUCCUGGGGCUGAUCCCCAGCUCUACACGCACCCCUUGGCAGCACAGGCAGAAGAACACCAGCAAGGUUCUCCUUAAUGCUCCAGAUGGGUUUGCCUUCCAAGAGGCCACUGAAAGUGGGAUCUGUCCAAAUGCUCAGCUCCUGCACCAGUCUCCACCAAAAGAAAAAAAUGCAACCAGCAUUCAGUGAGUAGAAGCAGUGCCUGGGCACUUCUGCAGUGCCUGCCCUGUCUGCCCAUCCCUGCUUCUCAUUUGGUUUCAGCCUCAUGCUGAGGGGUCUAAAGGAACAUUUCUGCUUUGCCGUCAUGCUCAAAUAAGAAGUGCACCUCAAAUAAGAAAUGCAUCUCUGCCUCCAAGGGGGAGACAUUGAUAGUUACCUUCUUGCAGCUGCUGGGACAAUUCUGUGUAUUUGUCCAUAAAAAGGGAGAAGGCUGCAGAGGGGACCUGCUUUUAGCACAUAUUGAGGAAAGUACUGUGUGCUGGCAGCAGGAGGUGGCACUGGAAAACCACAGACGAACAAACACGUGAGGAAAAAAGAUCCCAGUCAGGGGCACAGGGCACAGUAUGUGUGCUCAUCCUUCAUUACUUUGAUGCCCCUGUCCCUGGUGCCUCCAUAUCAGAAGCCUGAUG